rnacentral:rRNA from 1 species
GAUGAACGCUGGCGGCGUGCCUAAUACAUGCAAGUCGAGCGAACGGACGAGAAGCUUGCUUCUCUGAUGUUUGCGGCGGACGGGUGAGUAACACGUGGAUAACCUACCUAUAAGACUGGGAUAAAUUCGGGAAACCGGAGCUAAUACCGGAUGAUAUUUUGAACCGCAUGGUUCAAAAGUGAAAGACGGUCUUGCUGUCACUUAUAGAUGGAUCCGCGCUGCAUUAGCUAGUUGGUAAGGUAACGGCUUACCAAGGCAACGAUGCAUAGCCGACCUGAGAGGGUGAUCGGCCACACUGGAACUGAGACACGGUCCAGACUCCUACGGGAGGCAGCAGUAGGGAAUCUUCCGCAAUGGGCGAAAGCCUGACGGAGCAACGCCGCGUGAGUGAUGAAGGUCUUCGGAUCGUAAAACUCUGUUAUUAGGGAAGAACAUAUGUGUAAGUAACUGUGCACAUCUUGACGGUACCUAAUCAGAAAGCCACGGCUAACUACGUG